GAGAUUGCCAUCUACCAGGGUAUUCUCUCCCACCCCUUUCCCACCCCAGGUCAUCACCAGUGAAAGUUCUGACACUUGCACUUCUCCGGCAAGCCAGGGCCGGGGCUUCACUGCCAGCCAGCAGGAGGAUGAGCCAGCUCUGCAAUUCCACUUCAGAGUCCAUCUUCUGGGAUCACUCUUGGCACCAACUGUAUUGAGUUGAGUUCUGGGAAAUAGACUUGCAGGUCAUACAAAAACAAGUAUAAUAAUAUAUUUUGCCUAUAGGUGCCAAGACCUGCAUUGUUUCCUUUCAGAUACUUUUCUUUAUUGUAUUUGGGAACAAACCAGCUAUAGCAUGAGGAAGGGAUGUCAAGUGGAGAUAGAAGAGAAGAAAACUGGAUGUGCCAACACUGUCAUACACAGGGAUUUUCAGCAGUUUCAUGAAGCUACUGGAAGAUCUUUUCUUUGCUUGCCUAUAAACCCAUGCCAUCCAGUUCUCUCAGUCAUAGUGAGCUAUUCUUGGAAAAGCCCUUGCAUCAAUCAGUGUCCCAACAGGAAAUGGUUGGCAUCCCAGAUGAAGAUGAUAAAGGGACUGUUUACAAAGUUUUGGGGAAACUCCAAGGAAUAGUGUAAUAGCCCAGUCCUGUUACCACCCCUGCACCCAAAGUGACAAGGGGAGGGGGUGGAGACUGGGACAAGGGAAAAUCAUCUAGGGAAGGAUACCUUUACUGGAUCAGCAGCCUUCAGUUGGAGGAACACAGCCAGCUCCUGGUGACCCCACAGGGAGAGAGCGGGAGCACUAAGGAUUCCAAACUCAGUCCUCCUGAUCUUCAUCAGUAUUCGUCAUUGGCCAAACAAAUAACUGAAAUUCAGAGGGCAAGAGAGCUUGUUGUUAUCUAAACAGGUCAGCAUGGCAGACAGUGAGGCGAAGAGGGAGGGAAGGUGGAUUUGGAAGAGCAAUCGGGAGUGACCUAGUGCAGCCCUGAUAAACCCGAAAGCAGUGUUCCUCUCAAGAUAUUAUGGGGUCCCAGGGAGAUGCAGUGUCCAGGGAAGCAGAGGCAGCAGCACGGCUGCAGGAAGAAGUCAGGGUGGAACCCACACAGAGUGCAUUCCCAG
rnacentral:lncRNA from 1 species